AUAUAUAUAUAUUGUAUAAGAAGAAUUUUCAAAGGUUUGCAUUUUUUUUUUGCACACUGUGCAAAAACUUACUUAAUUAUCGAAACGCGUACAGCGAAGUUCGAUACUGUUAAUAAUAACUAAAAUUUAUAAAUUACUCACCCAAUUAUGAUAUAUUGCUUUAUAAAAAGCGCUUGGCCGGCGACGAGGAAGUUAGAAUUAUUAAAGAAAGCGAUCCGUAAACUUUCCAUACACGCACAGUAAUACUUACAAGCUACAACGAGACAAACAAACGAUCAUGCAGCGUUUUUUUUUACUACUGGCUGCAGUAGAUGUCAUCGUCAUCUCCUUAUGUGGCAGCAGCUACGCGCGUGAUUCGUACUACCCUGAAGUACGCUAUGUUGAUCAUCAAAAUGCUGAUCGUGGUUCAUACGUUCCUAUAGUACACUACGAUCACACGAAUCAUCCUGAUACUCCUGUCUAAUUGAAGCACACUACGUCGACUGAAAGAGUUGCAUGUGGUUCCGGAGAAUUGAUAUGGCUAUUUUCUAAAAAUAAUGUACAAUUGACGACGAAACGUGUGUAUAUGAAAUAAAUUCUGCGCUUUACUGCUGCAGUGUAUCAAAUAGAGUA